GCACAGACAGGUGAGCUCGCAAUAAUAAAACCUCCUCCUGCCAAGCUGAUGGAUUUUUAUUAAGGUUUUUCUUCACUGACAUUUUUAAGGCUUAAAUAUAAAUUAACAGGUCGUUUCUCUUUCAGCAAAUUCAUAAGAACACUCCAGAUUUCAGGAAAUAUGUUGGACCAAAAAAUGUACUUAUAUCUGUUUGGAUAUGUGGACUUCAGCUUAUGAAUUUAAUUUAAAAUCAGCUUUUCCAGUCUUCAUAAUGUCAGAGAGAACCAUCGUGAAGAGCAUGGACUUAGAGUGGCUCCAUCACUAACCCACCAUAUGAACUUGGAGAAGCAAUAUCUCAGUCUCAACUUUUCUCCCUUGUGGAUGGAGCCUUGUCCACAAGGCUACUGUGAGGAUCCAACUUGAUUUGCUUCAUCGGAUUCUUAUGCAGUGGGACAGCACUGGUAUGGGGGUUAAGGGGGUUGAUGCUAGUUCUGGUUCUGGUCUCAAGUUUGUUUCAUUUCCUCCUUUGAAGUUCUUGUCUAUAAAUAGAGGGGGGAAAGAGGGUCGUGGUAGACUAGGGUGCUCUCUGGAAUUUCUCACAACACCAAUACUCUAUGGGCUGCAAGUGAACUGCAACAGCUUCCCACCAGCUGCUCAAGAGUCAAAAAAUAGCCACAGCAUUUUUAGAGAAUAAUUCCCAGAGGCUGUAGAAGAUACUUCUACAAGAGACACAGCAGUCCUUUCUUCCCUGGGAAUCUGCAGUGGAGAAGGCAUGCCCCCACAGGGAGUAUCUGCUGUCAAUAUGAAAGUAUGUUCUAAAGGAGAAGUCAUAAGUGGAAGAUGUGGAUGCGUUGGUAGACUUGUGGAAGAGGUGGUGUUGGAGUUGAAACAGGAAAAUGAAAUGUACCACUAUGUCUCAGGAAAGCUAAAUGGGACUUGCAUUUUUGUUCCACUGCUGGAGAUCUAGAAACCCCUUUGAAAUAUCUUUGCAUGAGGUAAUAUAUUUGAAGCCUCUUUAUUUGGAGUUGUUUUUAAAUUUGGAGCACUGUAGAAGAAGACUGAGGGUCUCUAUGAGAUUAUGGAGGGCAGGCUAUUUUAGAAAGAAUUCCCAGAAGUCCCAAGGGGACUUUUCAGGGACAGAAAAUCCUGCAUGAUAAGAUGGGUUACUGACAUUAGUGUGUCAUUUACAUGAGGCUUUAAUAGAGUUGAUUCUUCUCUCCAUUUCUGAUGCCUUUGACGUAUCAUUUUGUUUGGUAUCAAGGAAAGAACUUGCCACCAAUUUUAAGUUCCCAAAUUACUCCUGUUACUGGAAUUGUAGUUGGUGUUUCAAUUUGCCUCAUAAUGCUGGUCAUAUCAACUCCCUCUCUUGCUACCCUCACCCAAUUAGCAAAUUUAGUCAGUUCUUUUUAAAUGGUUCUCAAAGUCCUCCCCUCCUCUUAAACCACACUCCUCACUUCUU
rnacentral:lncRNA from 1 species